rnacentral:rRNA from 1 species
GAUGAACGCUAGCUACAGGCUUAACACAUGCAAGUCGAGGGGCAGCAUGGUCUUAGCUUGCUAAGGCCGAUGGCGACCGGCGCACGGGUGAGUAACACGUAUCCAACCUGCCGUCUACUCUUGGACAGCCUUCUGAAAGGAAGAUUAAUACAAGAUGGCAUCAUGAGUCCGCAUGUUCACAUGAUUAAAGGUAUUCCGGUAGACGAUGGGGAUGCGUUCCAUUAGAUAGUAGGCGGGGUAACGGCCCACCUAGUCUUCGAUGGAUAGGGGUUCUGAGAGGAAGGUCCCCCACAUUGGAACUGAGACACGGUCCAAACUCCUACGGGAGGCAGCAGUGAGGAAUAUUGGUCAAUGGGCGAGAGCCUGAACCAGCCAAGUAGCGUGAAGGAUGACUGCCCUAUGGGUGGUAAACUUCUUUUAGAAAGGAAUAAAGUCGGGUAUGGAUACCCGUUUGCAUGUACUUUAUGAAUAAGGAUCGGCUAACUCCGUG